rnacentral:rRNA from 1 species
AGUAGUUUGAUCAUGGCUCAGACGAACGCUGGCGGCGUGCUUAACACAUGCAAGUCGAACGAGGCGAUUAGAAGCUUGCUUUUAUGAGCCUAGUGGCAAACGGGUGAGUAACGCGUAGGCAACCUGCCUCUAAGAUGGGGACAACAGCCCGAAAGGACUGCUAAUACCGAAUGUUGUGAGUUUUCCGCAUGGGAGACUCAUUAAAGAUGGCCUCUACUUGUAAGCUAUCACUUAGAGAUGGGCCUGCGUCUGAUUAGCUAGUUGGUGGGGUAACGGCUCACCAAGGCGACGAUCAGUAGCCGGUCUGAGAGGAUGAACGGCCACAUUGGGACUGAGACACGGCCCAGACUCC